GUGCCAAAAGCUUCAUAACUCAGUGAAGGUUCUUGUAGCCUGAACUAUCUGGAGCCUUUUGGAAGAGUAAGGACUAUGCUCCACUAUGGACUACACAGUUGUAGUUCAUCACUAACAAAGUAGUCAACAAA
rnacentral:snoRNA from 1 species